UACAGAGGUCUCAAGCGUUGUUCGGAUUCAUUGGGCGUAAAGGGUGGCGUAGGUGGCGCCAUAAGUCAGGUGUGAAAUCUCGGGGCUUAACUCCGAAACUGCAUUUGAUACUGUGGUGCUUGAGGACUGGAGAGGAGACUGGAAUUCACGGUGUAGCAGUGAAAUGCGUAGAUAUCGUGAGGAAGACCAGUGGCGAAGGCGGGU
rnacentral:rRNA from 1 species